rnacentral:rRNA from 1 species
UACGUAGGGGCAAGCGUUGUCCGGAAUCAUUGGGCGUAAAGAGCGUGUAGGCGGCUCGAUAAGUCUGCUGUGAAAGUCCAGGCUCAACCCUGGAAGGCCGGUGGAAACUGUCGGGCUAGAGUCCGGAAGAGGCGAGUGGAAUUCCCGGUGUAGCGGUGAAAUGCGCAGAUAUCAGGAAGAACACCAUGGCGAAGGCAGCUCUCUGGGACGGUACUGACGCUGAGACGCGAAAGCGUGGGGAGCGAACAGG